rnacentral:lncRNA from 1 species
UGCUGAGUAUUGUGUUUGGUGGGAGAGAAAAAUCCUUGGUAAGUUAAGCAUCAGAUGAAAAAUUAUUUGUUAUUCGUUUGUGUGCAGACUCUGCCAUGGUAAGAUAGUAUUUAUCAAAAUCAGCUGCAGAGUCUGCCACAAAAGAAUACCAAAGAGUUUUUCUGCUUUAAUGUUUUGCUUGGAUGAGCUUGGUUGGAUUUGAAGGUUCUUAUUUGCCCUUCUCAUUCACUGUGGUUUUAUUGUUUUGGUGUUUGUUUAUGGUUGCAUAAUUGACAUCAAUAGUUUCUUCUUUUAAAUCUUACAAUAAUUGAAUCAUUUUCAUUGAUGGUUUAAGACUUUAAGCCUUUCUCUUUUGUUGGUUGAUCAUAUUUAUCCUCCAAUACAAGAUCUUACUUUUUAAUACAAUAUGUGAAGCUCAAUUUGCUUUAUAUAGUUUCUGGGUUGAUUUCCAUUUCCUGCUAUUGAAAAGGUAGGAAUUGACCAAUAUGUUUAAUCAUAGAAAUGUUUGCUUUCUAGGUUGAUUUAUAUUUUGGUUACUGAAUGAUAGGAAGAAAAUGAAAAUUUUGAUCUGGGAUUAACAAAUUUAGUUGAUCAUAAACAUGUUUAGCUUUUCAGAACUCCUAAGCAAAUGUUAACAUAUUACUAUUAUAUAUCAAGUUAUAACCUUCCUAUUGGCCUUCAUCCUCUAAAAUAUCAGCACUUUUUACAGGCAAAGAAUUACUUGUUACUACUAUAAUCUUUUGAUAUAUUGCCACGAUUGUUUAAUAUGAACCAGUACAUGUCCACCUUUAAUUUCCUUAUAGGCUUCAGAAGAUGAAGAAAUUGGCCUUGAAGUUCGUGUAAAAGAGUGCAAAAGAGCUAGGGAAGCUAGAAUCCUUUAAUACAUAUCUCAGUUUUUCUUUAACAGAAUUAUUUCUUCAUUUCUGGAAUGUUGCUUAGCAAUAUCAUUUGCAAUUUGACAUUUUUAAUUAAGUUAGAAUUUUGACAUUUUGACCUUUCCUUUCAGAAUAUGAUAUAUUUUAAAUAACAUUAUUGGAUAAAUAAGCUCCAAAGAUAUGUACGUGCUGCUAGAAGUAAAAAUUUUGAUUCACAUAUGAGACAUGAGUAGAAUAAUAGUUUUGUUCAGGGAUCCCUUAUCCAUAUUCAUGUUCUUUCCUUCUCAUUUCAUUGGUAAGAAUUCUUAUUAUUUCUAAGUGCAACGUCUGUUGAGUCAUGUUCAAAUGAGCUGGUCUUUAUAUAAAAGAAUUUUAUCAGGGAGACUUAAAUGACCCGUUGCUUGGGCUAUGAAGUGUCUUAA